GGUUUGAUCUCAAGACCCAUAUGAUUGACAAAGGAUACCCCAAAUAUACCGACACCAUCUUUGGAGGUGUCCCUAAUGAUGCUCAUGAUGUGUUCCAGCACAAAGGCAACAUUUAUUUCUGCAGAGAUCUUUUCUACUGGCGCCUGAAUUCUCGCAGGGAGGUGGACCACACCGGCAAUGUGAAGUAUGAUCUUCUGAAAUGCCCAAAAUAAUAAA